UACAGAGGGGGCAAGCGUUAUUCGGAAUUAUUGGGCGUAAAGGGUCCGUAGGCGGUCCGGAAAGUCAGAUGUGAAAUCCCACAGCUCAACUGUGGAACUGCAUUUGAAACUUCCGGACUAGAGUAUGAGAGGGGUAAAGGGAAUUCCCGGUGUAAGGGUGAAAUCUGCAGAGAUCGGGAGGAACACCUGUCGCGAAGGCGCUUUACUGGCUCAUUACUGACGCUCAGGGACGAAAGCUAGGGGAGCAAACGGG
rnacentral:rRNA from 1 species